rnacentral:rRNA from 1 species
AGUCAAUAGAUACCCUGGUAGUCCACGCCGUAAACGAUGUCGACUUGGAGGUUGUGCCCUUGAGGCGCGGCUUCCGGAGCUAAACGCGUUAAGUCGACCGCCUGGGGAGUACGGCCGCAAGGUUAAAACUCAAAUGAAUUGACGGGGGCCCGCACAAGCGGUGGAGCAUGUGGUUUAAUUCGAUGCAACGCGAAGAACCUUACCUACUCUUGACAUCCAGAGAACCUUCCAGAGAUGGAUUGGUGCCUUCGGGAACUCUGAGACAGGUGCUGCAUGGCUGUCGUCAGCUCGUGUUGUGAAACUGUUGGGUUAAGUCCCGCAACGAGCGCAACCCUUAUCCUUUGUUGCCAGCGGUCCGGCCGGGAACUCAAAGGAGACUGCCAGUGAUAAACCUGGAGGAAGGUGGGGAUGACGUCAAGUCAUCAUGGCCCUUACGAGUAGGGCUACACACGUGCUACAAUGGCGCAUACAAAGAGAAGCGACCUCGCGAGAGCAAGCGGACCUCAUAAAGUGCGUCGUAGUCCGG